rnacentral:rRNA from 1 species
GCUAUCACUCUUGGAUGGACCUGCGGUGCAUUAGCUAGUUGGUAAGGUAACGGCUUACCAAGGCAAUGAUGCAUAGCCGAGUUGAGAGACUGAUCGGCCACAUUGGGACUGAGACACGGCCCAAACUCAUACGGGAGGCAGCAGUAGGGAAUCUUCCACAAUGGACGAAAGUCUGAUGGAGCAACGCCGCGUGAGUGAAGAAGGGUUUCGGCUCGUAAAGCUCUGUUGGUAGUGAAGAAAGAUAGAGGUAGUAACUGGCCUUUAUUUGACGGUAAUUACUUAGAAAGUCACGGCUAACUACGUGCCAGCAGCCGCGGUAAUACGUAGGUGGCAAGCGUUGUCCGGAUUUAUUGGGCGUAAAGCGAGUGCAGGCGGUUCAAUAAGUCUGAUGUGAAAGCCUUCGGCUCAACCGGAGAAUUGCAUCAGAAACUGUUGAACUUGAGUGCAGAAGAGGAGAGUGGAACUCCAUGUGUAGCGGUGGAAUGCGUAGAUAUAUGGAAGAACACCAGUGGCGAAGGCGGCUCUCUGGUCUGCAACUGACGCUGAGGCUCGAAAGCAUGGGUAGCGAACAGGAUUAGAUACCCUGGUAGUCCAUGCCGUAAACGAUGAGUGCUAAGUGUUGGGAGGUUUCCGCCUCUCAGUGCUGCAGCUAACGCAUUAAGCACUCCGCCUGGGGAGUACGACCGCAAGGUUGAAACUCAAAGGAAUUGACGGGGGCCCGCACAAGCGGUGGAGCAUGUGGUUUAAUUCGAAGCAACGCGAAGAACCUUACCAGGUCUUGACAUCCAGUGCAAACCUAAGAGAUUAGGUGUUCCCUUCGGGGACGCUGAGACAGGUGGUGCAUGGCUGUCGUCAGCUCGUGUCGUGAGAUGUUGGGUUAAGUCCCGCAACGAGCGCAACCCUUGUCAUUAGUUGCCAUCAUUAAGUUGGGCACUCUAAUGAGACUGCCGGUGACAAACCGGAGGAAGGUGGGGAUGACGUCAAGUCAUCAUGCCCCUUAUGACCUGGGCUACACACGUGCUACAAUGGACGGUACAACGAGAAGCGAACCUGCGAAGGCAAGCGGAUCUCUUAAA